rnacentral:rRNA from 1 species
CACGUAGGGUGCGAGCGUUGUCCGGAAUUAUUGGGCGUAAAGAGCUCGUAGGCGGUCUGUUGCGUCUGCUGUGAAAACUCGGGGCUUAACCCCGAGCCUGCAGUGGAUACGGGCAGACUAGAGGUAGGUAGGGGAGAAUGGAAUUCCCGGUGUAGCGGUGAAAUGCGCAGAUAUCGGGAGGAACACCGGUGGCGAAGGCGGUUCUCUGGGCCUUACCUGACGCUGAGGAGCGAAAGCGUGGGGAGCGAACAGG